ACGGGAGGCAGCAGUGAGGAAUAUUGGACAAUGGAUGGAAGUCUGAUCCAGCCAUGCCGCGUGAGGGAUGGAUGCCCUACGGGCUCUGAACUUCUUUUGUACGGGGGCAAUAAGGUCCACGCGUGGACCGAUGAGAGUACCGUACGAAUAAGCAUCGGCUAACUCCGUGCCAGCAGCCGCGGUAAUACGGAGGAUGCGAGCGUUAUCCGGAUUUAUUGGGUUUAAAGGGUGCGUAGGCGGCUUGCCAAGUCAGCGGUUAAAUCCGGGCGCCCAACGCCGGAACUGCCGUUGAGACUGGCGGGCUUGAAUGGUGCCGCCGCAUGCGGAAUGUGUGGAGUAGCAGUGAAAUGCAUAGAUAUCACACAGAACGCCGAUUGUGGGAACAGCAUGCGAGACACCGAUUGACGCUGAGGCACGAAGGUGCGGGGAUCGAACAGGAUUAGAUACCCUGGUA
rnacentral:rRNA from 1 species